rnacentral:tRNA from 1 species
GGGCGGUUAGCUCAGCUGGUUAGAGCGCCUGUUUUACACGCAGGAGGUCACAGGUUCGAUCCCUGUACUGCCCACCA